rnacentral:rRNA from 1 species
UACGGAGGGAGCUAGCGUUGUUCGGAAUUACUGGGCGUAAAGCGCGCGUAGGCGGUUAUUCAAGUCAGAGGUGAAAGCCCAGAGCUCAACUCUGGAAUUGCCUUUAGACUGCAUCGCUUGAAUCAUGGAGAGGUCAGUGGAAUUCCGAGUGUAGAGGUGAAAUUCGUAGAUAUUCGGAAGAACACCAGUGGCGAAGGCGGCUGACUGGACAUGUAUUGACGCUGAGGUGCGAAAGCGUGGGGAGCAAACAGG